CUUGGUCAUUUAGAGGAAGUAAAAGUCGUAACAAGGUCUCCGUAGGUGAACCUGCGGAGGGAUCAUUACCGAAUUCAUGCCCACACGGGUAGAUCUCCCACCCUAUGUUAUCAUUACCUUUGUUGCUUUGGCGGGCCGCCAGGCUUCGGUCAGGCUACCGGCUCCGGCUGGUACGCGCCCGCCAGAGGACCCCAAACUCUGAAUGUUAGUGUCGUCUGAGUACUAUCUAAUAGUUAAAACUUUCAACAACGGAUCUCUUGGUUCUGGCAUCGAUGAAGAACGCAGCGAAAUGCGAUAAGUAAUGUGAAUUGCAGAAUUCAGUGAAUCAUCGAAUCUUUGAACGCACAUUGCGCCCCUUGGCAUUCCGAGGGGCAUGCCUGUUCGAGCGUCAUUACAACCCUCAAGCACUGCUUGGCAUUGGGCUCCGCUGCUAACCCAGCGGGCCUUAAAAUCAGUGGCGGCGCCCUCAGGCUCUGAGCGUAGUAAAUCUCCUCGCUAUAGAGUCCUGGUGGUGGUAGUCAUCAACCCCCAACUUUUCUAAGUUUGACCUCGGAUCAGGUAGGGAUACCCGCUGAACUUAAGCAUAUCAAUAAGCGGAGGA
rnacentral:rRNA from 1 species